CAAUAUGGGGUUUUUGGACCGUCUCUGCCAAAGACUGAUUCAGACCAUUGGACGGACACCUUUCCGAACGGACAGGACAGAUCUGGACUCCAACCAGCCAGGCCCCACUGACUCUUCUGUCCCAGACACAGAGGAGCAGAAGGUGGCCCAAAAACAAGACCCGGCACCACAAACCGUGGCUGCAGGAGCAGGCAGCCACUGCAGCACUUUCUGUGCUCAGCCUCCUGAUCCAGGCACCAAGCGAAAGGCCUAUUCGUCACCCAGGGGACAGCUUGCCCCAGUCAGCAAGAAUGAGGAAAGGCCAAUGAAGACCAGAAGCCUUGCUUGUGUGAGGGACAUGGAUGAGGCUGCCCUGAGGAAAGACAUUGGCACCCUCUUCCCAGCGCUCGACUCCAUGGUGUGUCAUCUACCCAGAGAGCACCUGGAGGAGCGGAGAGAGACCCUGGACUCUCUGGUCCAUCUGGCUCGCUUGUUCCUGGUGGAGCUGCUUGUGUUCCUGUUCAGGAGGCUGAACAAGGAUGAGGAAGAGGAGACCUGUGCCAGUCUCUUCAUUCUGGACCGGCUAGUCCAAUCCAACAUUUCUGAAAUGACACACCAUACAGAGAAGCUGUUCAUAGCCCUGGGGCCAAUCCUGCAGAGCACAAGCAUACGGGAGGAAGCAGACGGGAGGUGCACCAUGGAGCUCGAGGUCCGCCAGCUCUGCUCCAGCACCCUGCAGUCCCUGGGUGACUCCCCCAGAAUGGCCAAUGUUUUAUGGCCUGGGCUGCUCCUUCAACUGAGCCCAGCAGCCCAUGGGCCAGCCCUGCCUCUCCUCCUGCAGACCUCGGUCGGGGUGGUAAAGAGGAUGCCGGAGAAAAGCAGGCUGCCCCUGGCCAGGACGCUACCCAGGGGCAGCUUGGGGCCAGUGAAACAGACAACUAUACCCUGGGUAGCGACUGCUGUUCUGAACUAGGCACUGACCCCCAAUUCCUUCCAGGACUCUGACCUUGUCACCGGGCCGCUUAUCACUGUGACCCAGCUGGCGCCUGAUACUAGCCAUGAAACAGCCCAGCCAGACCCUUCUACUGAGGAGCAGCCUGCAACCUCUUGUUUCGCAGAACUUUCUCUACAAGUGCUGGGGCUAAUGUUUUCUCCAGCAGAGAGCACCAAGCCCCAACUAUGGCUUCUGGUGGAGAUGGUCAAUUUCCGAGAAGAAGUGGAAAGAGAGGGAUUUGCCUGAGCGCUUGGGCUGUGUGCCAGGCAACACCUAUACAAGAUUUUCGCCAUCCUGGAGCACUGGGACGAGUUCGUCAGCAGGGUGCAGCUCCAGCCUUCUGCCGGUGGCUCUCUGGAGGAGCCAGCUUCCAUCGAGCAGCUGAGAAGCCUCCUGCUCCUCACCUAUGGGCACGUGGUCCACUCAGGCCCCACGGAUCUCAUCCUAGAGACCAUAGGCUGCAAGAUCCUGUCUCCCAUGCGGCAACACUAUUUUCUGAGCCCACACGACCCGCUGGUGAGAUCUGCUUUUGUGAGAAGCCUCGUGCUGGUGGGUGAAGCUGUCACCCAAGUAAGCAGGAUUCCCUUGGUGAGCCAGGACACAUACACCAUGCUGUCUCCCCUGCUGGAAAUUCGAGCCUCGCCUGCCUAAGGAACAGGAGGCUGAGACCAUCAGCACUUGUAUCGCCAGCGCCAUGAUUCAGCGCCCAGCCCUGGCGAAGCUGAGAGGGACUGAGGUGGCAGAAAUCUCCACUCUCCAGGCAGAAGUUAGUGAGGCAUGGACAAAGCUGCAGCUUCCACCUUCCUCCUUGGCUGGGAAACUCAGCCACCCCCCUGCUGAGUAGCUGGACCCUGGCCCAAUGCAGAGAGCUGCGUGUCCAGCCGAAUCCAGCCCCUCGGUUUAUUUUCCAAAGGGCUGGUGACAAGUGGCUAUGCAGUUAACUCUGCAAUUGGGUUGGCAGGGAGGACAGCUGUAGAGGUGAGUGUCUGUGAGACUGUACAGAAUUACCCUGGAUUCUUGGCACAGGGAACUAGAACCUACCCCCAGUUUACACCAGCUGGGGAUCUGGCCCAGAGUGUUAAAUAGCAUUUGGUGCAAAGGGAGCAAAGCAUGGAUUCGGGACAGCCACACGGCCAGGCCAUGCCUUGCCCUGCCACAGAAACAGAGACUGGCUGGAGCGGGGAUGAACAGCUCAGCCCUUGGCAAUCCAGCGAGGUGUUGGGGGGCAGCUUGGGCCCCUCCAGAGGCGGAGGGAGGAGGCCUUCCCUCCAGAGCCCCGCUCAGUACAUGUGUUGGGGAGCCCAGUUGGGAGGAAGGAUUCUUUGGUGAAGGGCAGCGCAUGGUCCAGGUGAGACCCAUGUCUAUGUGCAGGGGGAUCGAUAUCAACCUGCGUAAAGGGACCCCAAAU